ensembl:lncRNA ZRANB2-DT ZRANB2 divergent transcript
GGUGGAGGCGGAAGUGACUGAUCAAUUCAGGGGCGUGGGGUUCGUUUAGGUUUUGCCCUGUGUAUGACCUCGUUUGGAGCCAUGAAACCAGGUGGCUUUUCUACAAUAUAAAGAUGGAAAUGGGAAGAAGAUGUUCAUUGCAAAUUAAGGAAGCUCUUCCACGAGUUCACGAAUGGAAAUAACAUCAAGAGUUUUUCAUCUUCUUAGUGUGCAAGUAAUCUCUGCUGGACUUCUCUAUCAAAGUGUUUGAUGCAGCAAAAUAAAUAUCAAGGAGUGCAAUUCCUGGAUUUAUGAUGUCUGAGGAAUAGUCUUAGUGGAUUAUCCCAAACUUGACACAUUUUUUGCAAAAUGCUAUACAAAAAGAAGAUACAUGCGAUUAUGACAAGAUUCUCCACUUGGUGUGACCAGUCUCAUACAACCCAAGGCUGUGUGUCCAAAGGCAACUGUACUGAUCUUGACAAUAAUCAAAAGGUAGCCAGGUGCAUCGG